CCUACGGGUGGCAGCAGUGCGGAAUAUUGGUCAAUGGGCGGAAGCCUGAACCAGCCAAGUAGCGUGCAGGAUGACGGCCCUACGGGUUGUAAACUGCUUUUAUACGGGAAUAACGCGCCUUACGUGUAGGGCUUUGCAUGUACCGUAUGAAUAAGGACAGGCUAAUUCCGUUCCAGCAGCCGCGGUAAUACGGAAGGUCCGGGCGUUAUCCGGAUUUAUUGGGUUUAAAGGGAGCGUAGGCCGCAGGUCAAGCGUGCUGUGAAAUGUCCGGGCUCAACCCGGGCCUUGCAGCGGGAACUGGCGUGCUUGAGUCCGCGGAAAGCAGGCGGAAUU
rnacentral:rRNA from 1 species